UGGCAGAAGUGGGAUUCUAACCCACGCCAAGAAAGACUGGUGCCUAAAACCAGCGCCUUAGACCACUCGGCCACGCUACC
rnacentral:tRNA from 13 species